GAGUUUGAUCCUGGCUCAGGACGAACGCUGGCGGCGUGCCUAAUACAUGCAAGUCGAGCGGGUUUAUCCUUCGGGAUAAGUUAGCGGCGGAUGGGUGAGUAACACGUAGGUAACCUGCCUUUAAGACUGGGAUAACUAUCGGAAACGAUAGCUAAGACCGGAUAACUGGUUCUCUCGCAUGAGAGAAUCAUAAAACACGGAGCAGUCUGUGACUUAGAGAUGGGCCUGCGGCGCAUUAGCUAGUUGGUGAGGUAACGGCUCACCAAGGCGACGAUGCGUAGCCGACCUGAGAGGGUGAACGGCCACACUGGGACUGAGACACGGCCCAGACUCCUACGGGAGGCAGCAGUAGGGAAUCUUCCGCAAUGGACGCAAGUCUGACGGAGCAACGCCGCGUGAGUGAUGAAGGUUUUCGGAUCGUAAAGCUACUGUUGCCCUAGACGAACAGCAGGGAGAGGUAACUGCUCUCUGUGUGACGGUA
rnacentral:rRNA from 1 species